rnacentral:rRNA from 1 species
AUGCCGCACCCCCUCCCUCCUCGGUCUCCCCCUCUCUCCCUCGUCGGCUGCCACAACACGAAGCCAGGAAUCCUCCCCCUCCUUCUCCCUUGCAUGUGUGUGCCCGUCGUCGCCUUCCCCCCUCUUCCCCAUCGUUGCCCCAAUGCCUCCAUGGGCUACAACAGAUCUAUGGCUGAUGGGAGGGUACGAGGUAGAGAAGGACGCGUCGUCGGCCCGUCACUUAGGCUGGUGAAGCACAGGUCAGGUCUGGGCGCAACGACCGGCGCCUGCGGGCAGGGUCGGCCGUGGAGGGAGGCUCGCCGGCCGGAGAAGCAGGAGCAAGGAGGUGGAGCUCCUCCUUCAACCUGUGUGUGUGAUUUCUUCCUUUUCUAUGAAUGCACAAAUCUGAAGCUUUUUUUGGUUGCCUCAUCCAGCUUUCUUCUGAAGUGUGCAGAUUGUUAUUCCUUAUCAGGAAGGACAAUAUUCAUUUGA